rnacentral:rRNA from 1 species
GACAACGCUGGCGGCGUGCCUAACACAUGCAAGUCGAGCGGGGUUGAGGCGAGAGGUAACUCGAGCUUCUACCUAGCGGCGGACGGGUGAGUAACGCGUGGGCAACCUGCCUCAAGGUUUGGGAUAACAGCCCGAAAGGGCUGCUAAUACCGGAUAUGCCUAUGGCCUCGCAUGGGGCUAUGAGCAAAGGGGAAACCCGCCUUGAGAUGGGCCCGCGUCCCAUCAGCUAGUUGGUGAGGUAACAGCUCACCAAGGCGACGACGGGUAGCCGGCCUGAGAGGGUGACCGGCCACACUGGGACUGAGACACGGCCCAGACUCCUACGGGGGGCAGCAGUGGGGGAUCUUGCACAAUGGGCGAAAGCCUGAUGCAGCGACGCCGCGUGAGCGAAGAAGGCCUUCGGGUUGUAAAGCUCUGUCUGGAGGGACGAACAAAAUGACGGUACCUCCGGAGGAAGCCACGGCUAACUACGUG